UUUGAGGAGCAGAAAAAAAUUGUGAUCGAUCACAAACGAAGCAGCCUAAAAGAGCUUUAGCUAUUAAGACAAAAACAAAUCGACACCAAACUACAAUGGGAACUCGUAUUAUUACUACAUGUUGUACAAUGCAAAAUAUAGUGAUAUGUCAUAUCGUUCAAGUGGCUGAGUCCGUCGCUUUAGAUAAAACGGUGAAAUUUUAUUUUACCUUAAGUUCACAAAACCAAACCGUCUUUUCACCCGCAAGAUGAACGAAGAACAAUGUAUGAACGAAUAACUUCGAAUUCAUUUCAUUGACUGGAGAAAKCGAUUCUUAAAUUGCAUAAAAACUUCUCAAAACCAGUGAAGGAUGAUUCCCCAGCAAGAAGAACUCUGCAUGAGGGAUCAGCAACUGCUGUUGGCUUUUCAGGCGUUCAGGAGACAAAUGAUUCUUCCUCUAGUGAUUCCAUUGAUGUUAAUUUUGUUUCACAAAGAACACCAAAAAAGCCAGUAGAAAGGGAUUGCAAUUGCGUAAGUUUGACUCUACAAAACUUUAUAUGUUGGUAUUUUGUAUAACCUUAUAUACUCCAUCGCACUAACGAUGUCAGUAAGUUGUAAAGACAUUAAAAAAACACAU